rnacentral:pre_miRNA from 1 species
AAGGUCCGUUUAUGAGAUAUGUCAACACAGCCAGAUGCAGUAGUUCUUUUCGUCACAACUGCUUCCAGCUGUGCUGACAUAUCUCAUAAAAGAGGGCCUCAU